rnacentral:piRNA from 3 species
UCCAUACAUUGCACGGCCCACUAAACGA